rnacentral:tRNA from 1 species
GGCUCCAUGGUGUAGUGGUUAUCACGUCAGUUUUACACACUGAAGGUCGGGAGUUCGAUCCUCCCUGGAGUCA